rnacentral:rRNA from 1 species
GUUUGAUCAUGGCUCAGAACGAACGCUGGCGGCAGGCCUAAUACAUGCAAGUCGAACGAUCCUUCGGGAUAGUGGCGCACGGGUGAGUAACACGUGGGAACAUACCCUUGGGUGCGGAACAACGUCGGGAAACUGACGCUAAUACCGCAUAAUGACUCCGGUCCAAAGAUUUAUCGCCCAAGGAUUGGCCCGCGCUAGAUUAGGUUGUUGGUGAGGUAACGGCUCACCAAGCCUACGAUCUAUAGCUGGUCUGAGAGGAUGAUCAGCCACACUGGGACUGAGACACGGCCCAGACUCCUACGGGAGGCAGCAGUAAGGAAUAUUGGACAAUGGGGGCAACCCUGAUCCAGCCAUGCCGCGUGAGUGAAGAAGGCCUUAGGGUUGUAAAGCUCUUUCAGGUGCAAAGAUAAUGACUGUAACACCAGAAGAAGCCCCGGCUAAAUUCGUG